UCAGAGAUCAUAGAUUUAUUCACGUCACUUUUAUUUACAUUACAACCACAGGCGCCUCAGAAUCGUAUCCAUCCACUGGAUCAUGAUCACUGAUUCAUUGAUCUCAUUCAAUGAUUUUAAUGACAGCUUCAUCUGUAAUCAAUGAAGCAAAUCUACAGUAUGACAGAAUGGAGUACACAGGAAGUAACAGAACACAGAAAUACUUACUGAAGUACAUUAAAGCUGCACUUCAGUAAGUAUUUGAGUACAGUUACAAUCUGUCUGCCCCCUCUGAACACCAUCGUUGGCCUGACAGCAUCGUGGGUUACAGUCAGAUUCAGCGUUGGACGAUCCAGGAGCACGGAUCAUGACCCGGCUUCAGUCUCAGAAGGAGGAUUCACUCUGAUCUCACCUGAGGACUGACGUCACAGACUUUGGUCCUGUGCUUACGUCAUAAUGAAGUCCGGUUUUCAUUCAUCCUGAGGCGAAACAGAUUUAGAUGUAAAUGAAUACACUGUGGAAGUUUCUUUGCUGCUCUGAGCUUGUUGCAGCGACAGUGAAGGCUCCUCCCCCUCCUCAGGGGGAGGGGCUAUCAGAGGAGACUUGAUAUUGAGGAAGAGCUCAGAUAUCAGCUGAGCGUUAACACACACACACACGGACCGAGAACAGCAGCUCCUGACCCCGCGCAUCUAAAGGAUGGUGUGACUGAUCAUCAGCGCUCGCAAGGGUGACAGGAUGAGCAGCGAACCCGCCCUGAUGACCCCGCCCACAGAGCAGGACGUCGACGUGCUGCCGAAGGAGAACUGCGGGUCCUGAAAGUAAGCCGAGAGCUGGAGGGCAGGGAGGUCCAAAAAGCAUCCCAAUCAGACGCCGUCCCAAACUGGCUCUGACCUCGACCUCUUUCUGCUUCCGGCUCUCGGCGCUCUUUCGGCUCCUCCUUCCUCACGUCUCAGAGCGUCAGCAGAGAGGAUGAAAGGCUGCUCACCAAUUCCCCGCUCGAGGACCUGAGCAGCCCUGAUGACCGUGCCGGUCUCUGCUGACGACGCUCUCACGCCAACCUCGCUUCUUUUUGUUGUUGCUUUAAUAAAAACCGUUUUAAACCUGAGCCGAGUGUUUGUGUCCCAGUGAGACGCCGCACAAACAAACACCAGCUGUCACAGCGAACCUUCAUGAUGCAGCUAAUCUAGCUUCAUAAGCUUUAGAGCAGGGGUGGCAAACAUAAGGCCUGUGGGCCAGAAGCGUCCACCCAGAAGGUCCAACCACUGCCUAUUUCCAUCAGCUUUACAGCAAAGUCAGGAAGAAAAAGAUAAAUAUUACACUGAAAAAUUCAGUUAUUUAAUGUAAAGACAGAAAAGUCUCUUUUUGUUGUCUUUAUAAUAAAACGGUCAAAUCUGUGAGGUUGUG
ensembl:lncRNA